AUACCAGGAAAAUUCCGUAGAGACUCGAAAUGGAAUAGCUAGUAUUAACAAAAAAGUGGAUCACUGGACUGCUGGUGGGAUAUUUUCUGACAAUCUUUCAUCUGGUAUGCAAACACAGCUAGUGGUUUUCAUUUUACACGCAUCAUCCCCAAGCCUGGAUUCCAACUGCGCUUGCUGGAUGUCGGAACAGCCAUAUCAAAUAAUGCCUAAACUUAGCCUGGGAUCAGCUGUGAAUAUUGCACCAGAUGAAAAAGGCUUAAAAAAGCUGUCACGCAGAAAUAGCCUAGAAAGAUAUCACAGUGCUGCUCCGUGCCCAGGGCUGGGAGAUAAAUGACUUACCCUGCUUUGAAAGGUAAUACAGCCCGUGUAACCAAUGACAGGUGCUACUCUAGAGCAUGAACAGAAAGAACUUUUAGGUAGUUUUCUGCAAGUAGUGGCAGCUCUCAUAUCUUUGGGCUAAAUUCAUUCUCAUGCAGGGGUCAGUAUCCUGCACAGUGGGACACUUCUGUUGUGUUCAAAAGCUGCAGAGUUCACACGCAUGUGUCUCCUUUAUUUUUCUGUCUAUUUUACAGCCAGGAUUUAGAAUUAUUUCCUAUAUUGUAUUUUAGCUUUGCUGUAUUUUGAAAAACAAGUUAUGUAUUUUCACAUAUAUAAACUACCCUUUAGCUGGAGUGGCACUUGGAAACCUACUUUCUAGAGCACAAUUACUCAGAGUAAUGAACUGCACAGAACUGAAAAAGAAAAUCAACCUAAAAUAUUCUAAUAUGCCCCAAACUCAGUAGGAUUCAACACCUUUCCACUUAUAACACUUUAACCAUGUUGUACAAUACACUAAAAUUACUAAGAGAUGUUCUUGAAUUUGGUUUCAGUAACAGCCCAUAUCAGAUGUUCAUGAGGCCAGAGGCCUGCUGAUAUCACUGUGCCAAAUUAGUUUUAGUGCUCUCGCUCAUUUGACACUGUCCUUCACCAGGCUUUCUUUCCCGUGCUUACUUCGGACCUGAGCACUAUAGAUGCCUUGAGGAUGUCCUCCCACACGGCCUGUUUGAAUUCGAACUGCAUUAAUGAGCACUUUUUUCUAGUUAAAGAGCUCUAGAUAUUUUCCUUUUUCAUUUUUUUUGGAAGCUACUGCACGAUUAGUUAUAAGAUAAUGCACAAUAUUAUUUUCCCUCCAAAAGAGAGCCUGCGAAACAGAUCCCCAGAUGGUACAAAUUAAAGGUAGUUCCUCUGGCUUCAGUGGCAGUUUGCUGAUUCACAUCAGCUGAACAUCUGCUCUUGCGAUUAGAAAAUAAACUUAGGGCUCCCACAUGACUGCA
rnacentral:lncRNA from 1 species